rnacentral:rRNA from 1 species
GACGAACGCUGGCGGCGGGCUUAACACAUGCAAGUCGAACGGAAAGGCACUGCUUGUGUGGGGUGCUCGAGUGGCGAACGGGGGAGUAACACGUGAGUAACCUGCCCUUGACUUUGGGAUAACUUCAGGAAACUGGGGCUAAUACCGGAUAGGAGCUCCUGCUGGAUGGUGGGGGGUGGAAAGUUUCGGCGGUUGGGGAUGGACUCGCGGCUGAUCAGCUUGUUGGUGGGGGAGGGGCUUACCAAGGCUUUGACUGGUAGCCGGCCUGAGAGGGUGACCGGCCUCAUUGCGACUGCGAGACGGACCAGACUCCUACGGGAGGCAGAAGUCGCAAGUCUUGCCCAAUCGGCGCACGCCUGUUGCAGCAACCCCGCGUGCGUGAUGCCGGCCUUCGGGUUGUAAACCGCUUUCGCCUGUGACGCAGCGUGUGUGACGGUAAUGGGUAAAGAAGCACCGGCUAACUACGUG